rnacentral:rRNA from 1 species
ACGAACGCUGGCGGCCUGCCUCACCCAUGCCAGUCGAACGAGACCUUCGGGUCUAGUGGCGCACGGGUGCGUAACGCGUGGGAACCUGCCCUUAGGUUCGGAAUAACUCCCCGAAAGGGGUGCUAAUACCGGAUAAUGUCUUCGGACCAAAGAUUUAUCGCCUUUGGAUGGGCCCGCGUUGGAUUAGCUAGUUGGUAGGGUAAAAGCCUACCAAGGCGACGAUCCAUAGCUGGUCUGAGAGGAUGAUCAGCCACACUGGGACUGAGACACGGCCCAGACUCCUACGGGAGGCAGCAGUGGGGAAUAUUGGACAAUGGGCGAAAGCCUGAUCCAGCAAUGCCGCGUGAGUGAUGAAGGCCUUAGGGUUGUAAAGCUCUUUUACCCGGGAUGAUAAUGACAGUACCGGGAGAAUAAGCUCCGGCUAACUCCGUG